UCUAAAACUCAAGAUAUGGGUUGAACACCAAAUCAUGUCUGGGCUACAGAACAGAUUCAAACUUCUUUUUUGUUGCUAAGAUUUCAACUUGAAAAAGGUAACUUUGAAUCUUGGAAUUUUCAUAAAUGUUUUAAGCGUAUGUCUCAGCUUUCCAUC
rfam:Populus trichocarpa scaffold_14_contig_119, whole genome shotgun sequence.